UCGAUGAAGAACGCAGCAAAGCGCGAUAGGUAGUGUGAAUUGCAGAAUUCCGUGAAUCAUCGAAUUUUUGAACGCAUAUUGCGCCCUCGCUCUCGGGCUUGGGCAUGUCUGCCUCAGCGUCGUUUUUAAUGGUUCUCCGUACCUGGCUCUUGUGCAAAGCAUGGGCUUAAGCUCUGAGGUAAUCGUACUUAGUACGACGAUAGCAGCAGUCUGCCCUUGACGCUGUUCAUUGUUAGCAAGCUAUGCAAGUAGCAAAAGUCUGCCAUGAACAGCUACGGUGGUGUGAAGGCUGGCUGCGCAACCAUUCGACCUGAGUUCAGGCAGGGCUACCCGCUGAACUUAAGCAUAUCAAUAAGCG
rnacentral:sRNA from 1 species